rnacentral:lncRNA from 1 species
GAUUUUCAAGUUUCAAAUUGAAGGCCAUAAGAAAAUAAAAUCAUGAAUUUGAAGCUUGAAAAUUCAUAUGCAAAUUGACCAAAAGGUCAAAAUUAAAAUUUUAAAAAAAAAUAAAAGACCAAAUUGUUACCGAAAAUUAAGUUAAUGGACUUAAAAAUACAAUACACUAAUAAUAUCUUUGUGACGCAGAACAGAAGCAAGGAUUAACAAACACUAAACCUAAAAGAUAAACAGACAAGUUGCAAACGACAAACCUGUCAAAUAAGGGUUUCAGGAUUCCACCAGAAUUAAGAAAAGU